CAAAACAUUGUAAAACGUCCAAUCACAUUUUUCAAAACAUUGAGAAAAACGAGGAUGAAAUCUGCGGUUAGUUUUUCAAUUCCUAUUUCGAACAUAAUUUGCCAAUUCUGAUUAUUAAUCAAAUAAAAAGCAUAAAACUAGAUGUGUUAUGCUUCCCCAUCUUCAAUUUUAUGCAAAAAUGUGUUUUUCCCGGGAAAAGUAAUGAAAAAAAUACAUUGGCCUGAAAAAAAGUUAUCAACAUGCCGGAUCGGAUUUAGCCCUUUGCGAUUUACAGCCUUUGUAAACAUUUGCGUGUUUCAUUUUCCAUGUGGGUCCUAUGGCAAACGUCCAAACACGAUGGCAGGCUUUGUUUUUGUUGUUAUUUUGUUUUUUGGCCUCGCAGGCCAAACCAAAACAAAUUGUUCUUUCGUGUUGGGCCUUUCGUGUUUCGUGUUGGGCCUUUGUAAUCAACAAUAUUUUUUCGCUCGUUUUUGUAAAUUUUACAGUUAAUGUCGCGUUUUUCAUACAUUGUCUGUUACACAUCGAGUUUUCCUGCAUUUCAAAAGGAAAAUGCUGGAUACUUGGAUGGCUAAAAAGCCCACAAACUCAGACGAUUUUGACCGGAAGGUGCUCCAGACAUGCUCGGAACUAGGGUGAGGACAACACGGUGUUGCUAACACCCAGAGUGGCCUUCUUAGAGGAAACAGCUUAAAGCAUCUGUGGAAGGAAUAUCGUACGAUUUCGAUGGAGGCGUAGGAACCAAGCUACCAACAUAAAUGCUGCCAAAUUGCAUGGCCAUCUCCGCCGAAUCUUUAUGUUACCUACGGGUCGAUGGCACCGACGACUUGACCGGCCACCACCCGAGAGGGAGGGGGGAUCUUUCUGUGCGAAAGUUCUUAUCAACGGGUACAUUCAUCGGAACGAGAUAGCGACACGGAAUAGCAAACAGGAGAAAUGGACUAACAGUGUCUUCAAGUGAUGGUUUUAUCCGUUUUAUCUAAUAAAUUUAUGUAAAUUUUA